rnacentral:rRNA from 1 species
AGGAGUGGCGGACGGGUGAGUAUAAAGUUGGAAUCUGCCCCGAACUCAGGGAUAAGCAUCUGAAAAGAUGUCUAAUACCGGAUAGUCCCGCAAGGGUAAAGUUUUUCGGUUCGGGAGGAGCCUGCUUCUUAUCAGGUAGUUGGUGGGGUAAUGGCCUACCAAGCCUAUGACGAGUAGCUGAUCUGAGAGGAUGAUCAGCCACACUGGGACUGAGACACGGCCCAGACUCC